rnacentral:rRNA from 1 species
UGGGGAAUAUUGGACAAUGGGCGCAAGCCUGAUCCAGCCAUGCCGCGUGAGUGAUGAAGGCCUUCGGGUUGUAAAGCUCUUUCGCCGGUGAAGAUAAUGACGGUAACCGGAGAAGAAGCCCCGGCUAACUUCGUGCCAGCAGCCGCGGUAAUACGAAGGGGGCUAGCGUUGCUCGGAAUUACUGGGCGUAAAGCGCACGUAGGCGGUUUCUUAAGUCGGGGGUGAAAUCCUGGAGCUCAACUCCAGAACUGCCUUCGAUACUGGGAAACUUGAGUUCGGGAGAGGUGAGUGGAACUGCGAGUGUAGAGGUGAAAUUCGUAGAUAUUCGCAAGAACACCAGUGACGAAGGCGGCUCACUGGCCCGAUACUGACGCUGAGGUGCGAAAGCGUGGGGAGCAAACA